CCUGGCCUCAAGUCUUGGCAUCCUGGCCUCCUGCACUGACACCCUAAAGUGCCAGGAUUACAAACAUGAGCUAUCAUGCCCAGCCCAUAUAUGCUUUCAUGUAAUCUUAACCACCACCCAGUAUAGUAGAACUUAUUUAAAUUUUAUAGCCAGAGAAACAGAAACUCAGAAAGCUUAAAUUAUUUUCCCAAGACCAUAGUAAGUACCAGAGCUAGAAGUUGAACUCAGAAUAGGUGUCUCCGAAGCCUUUUCUUAUUUCAGUAUAGUAAAUGAUAAUGGUUUAUUUAUUUAACAGCUGCUAAGCUCUUUGGAAGCUAUUAGUAUAGGAAAAAAGACAAUGUUAACAAUAGAGAACAUAUGUAUGUGAUUUUGGUGAGUGGAGAUGAUGAAGAAGAUGGAGGUGAUGAGUGCAUGCAAGAUGUGUGAAACACCGUCUUUGCCGAAUUAAGCCUGGCAAGUUCUGAUGCUGGGACCUCCAAGAUUAAGGCACUGGCAGAUUUGGUAUCUGCCCCAACAUUAUGGUUGCUCAGCUUCUUCAGAAAGCCACUCAUGGAGAAGUACAAACCACAGUUAGAAAGUUGAGAGAUUUCAAUGAGAAGCGCAGGACCUUUAAAUCACAUGGUUACCUUCAGAAUGCACUCACCAAUUGGUACAGUUAUGAAACAUCUAGAAGUCAUCCAUUCUUUUAUAGACUUCCUCUCCUGACAUGUCUACUUGCUAUGAAACAGCUGUUUAGUCACGUUGCCAAGAAGAAAAGAAGACAGAAUGCUUCUAGAUAAAGAAAUACUAUUCCUAUGUCAACUUUCUAUGCAAAGUGUGGACUGUGGACCAGCAACAUGUGCAUUGCCUGGCAGCUUGUUGGAAAUGCAGAAUCUGAAGCUCUUCCUUAGACCUACUAAACAGACUUCACUUUAACAAUAUAUCUGGGCAAGUCAUAUAGUCAUUAAAAUUUGAGAA